rnacentral:misc_RNA from 1 species
AUGCGAAAGCAAAUGAAGACAAGUUCAGAAAGAGUUUGGAAACGAAUUCGAGUAAGCUUGUGCGUUCGUAUACUUUUUAUGGCCUCGUCGGUCGG